rnacentral:rRNA from 1 species
GACAGAGGGUGCGAACGUUGUUCGGAAUUACUGGGCGUAAAGCGCGUGUAGGCGGCAGCGUGUGUCGGGCGUGAAAUCCCACGGCUCAACCGUGGAAGUGCACUCGAAACUGCGCAGCUAGAGUCCUGGAGAGGAAGGUGGAAUGCUUGGUGUAGAGGUGAAAUUCGUAGAUAUCAAGCGGAACACCGGUGGCGAAGGCGGCCUUCUGGACAGUGACUGACGCUGAGGCGCGAAAGCGUGGGGAGCAAACAGG